rnacentral:rRNA from 1 species
CGGCAGCCCGAGUGGUGAUCACUAUUAUUGGGUCUAAAGGGUCCGUAGCCGGUUUGAUCAGUCUUUUGGGAAAUCUGACAGCUUAACUGUUAGGCUUCCAAAGGAUACUGUCAGACUUGGGACCGGGAGAGGUAAGAGGUACUACAGGGGUAGGAGUGAAAUCUUGUAAUCCCUGUGGGACCACCAGUGGCGAAGGCGUCUUACCAGAACGGGUCCGACGGUGAGGGACGAAAGCUGGGGGCACGAACCAGAUUAGAUACCCGAGUAGUCC